rnacentral:lncRNA from 1 species
GGGAAUCAGGUCUUUGAGUAGGAUGGCCAGUGUCCUUGGCAAGCCUAUUUUUGCUGAUGAAUGUACUACUAAGUAGACUAGAAUUUCUUAUGCACGCAUGCUUAUUGAGGUUAAUGUUUCUAAAGAAUUGCCAAGUGAGAUUGAGCUAAUAGAUCCAAAUGGUAAGAGAUUUGUGCAGGAAGUGGCAUAUGAUUGGAAACCAACAUACUGUGAGAAGUGCCUUAUGGUUGGACAUAACUGU